rnacentral:rRNA from 1 species
GAUGAACGCUAGCGGCGUGCCUAAUACAUGCAAGUCGAGCGAACAGACGAGGAGCUUGCUCCUCUGACGUUAGCGGCGGACGGGUGAGUAACACGUGGAUAACCUACCUAUAAGACUGGGAUAACUUCGGGAAACCGGAGCUAAUACCGGAUAAUAUAUUGAACCGCAUGGUUCAAUAGUGAAAGACGGUUUUGCUGUCACUUAUAGAUGGAUCCGCGCCGCAUUAGCUAGUCGGUAAGGUAACGGCUUACCAAGGCAACGAUGCGUAGCCGACCUGAGAGGGUGAUCGGCCACACUGGAACUGAGACACGGUCCAGACUCCUACGGGAGGCAGCAGUAGGGAAUCUUCCGCAAUGGGCGAAAACUUGACGGAGCAACGCCGCGUGAGUGAUGAAGGUCUUCGGAUCGUAAAACUCUGUUAUUAGGGAAGAACAAAUGUGUAAGUAACUAUGCACGUCUUGACGGUACCUAAUCAGAAAGCCACGGCUAACUACGUG